GUUCACGUGAUAGCGAUGUUCUUCAUACUCCAUAUCCAGUACUUAGAAUAAACAAUAUCAAAUUUGAUGUUCGAAAACUGCUUGAUGAGCAUCAGACAGGUAAACGUGUCAUUGUUGAAUAUGAGACAACUGGAAUGUUAAUAAAGUACAGAUUUGAAAUGGUUCAUAUCCUUGUUAACAUUAUGGUAAAUAAAGUUGGAAACAUGUAUCCAUCAAGAGCAACAAAAACAAAUCUUGCUAUGUCAAUUAUUAAUGCUUUUCCUAAACUGCACUCUGGUGGACCUCUAGGAUAUGAAAAUUACUAUUACGCUUAUAAGGAAGUUGAAGUAAAUGGCUAAAAAAAGAAAAUAACACCUCAUGGACAUAUCGAGGAGCGGCUGAAAACAAUUAGGAAGUUUGAUGGUGUCCAUGCCCAAGCUACACGAAAACGAAAAUCCGUUUCUCAAACAACUUUUGAUGUUGCAGUUCCUUUUUCAAAUGAAGAACGAAACAUUAUAAGUGAGUUGUCAUUUGAUGACAUUCAGUAUGAUCAAAAACAAUAUAUUCUUGAAAAAACUAGAGUAUCGCGAAGAAACUGGAUUCUGUCAUCAAAACCACCUUUUCAUGAAUUUAUUCGGAAAUUUCCCCCAUUUAAAGAUUUAGGAUUUGAUUUUCAAAGAGAGUUUAAAGCAACAUUUGAAAAUGCUAAAGAUUUGCUUACGCAAUGGGAGGAUAUGGCUCCUCAUGUUAUUACUUGGGCUCGUAGAAAGGAGAAUCCGAUGGCAAAGCAACUACUUUUACAUCUUGACAGCCAGCUAA